GCAGCAGUGGGGAAUAUUGGACAAUGGGCGCAAAGCCUGAUCCCAGCCAUGCCCGCGUGAGUGAUGAAGGCCUUAGGGUUGUAAAGCUCUUUUGUCCGGGACGAUAAUGACGGUACCGGAAGAAUAAGCCCCGGCUAACUUCGUGCCAGCAGCCGCGGUAAUACGAAGGGGGCUAGCGUUGCUCGGAAUCACUGGGCGUAAAGGGCGCGUAGGCGGCCGAUUAAGUCGGGGGUGAAAGCCUGUGGCUCAACCACAGAAUUGCCUUCGAUACUGGUUGGCUUGAGACCGGAAGAGGACAGCGGAACUGCGAGUGUAGAGGUGAAAUUCGUAGGUAUUCGCAAGAACACCAGUGGCGAAGGCGGCUGUCUGGUCCGGUUCUGACGCUGAGGCGCGAAAGCGUGGGGAGCAAACAGGAUUAGAUACCCUGNUAGUCCACGCCGUAAACGNNGAAUGCCAGCCGUUGGCCUGCUUGCAGGUCAGUGGCGCCGCUAACGCAUUAAGCAUUCCGCCUGGGGAGNNCGGUCGCAAGAUUAAAACUCAAAUGAAUUGACGG
rnacentral:rRNA from 1 species